GCCUUGAUGGUCUAGUGGUAUGAUUCGCCCUUAGGGAGUUAAAUUCACAUGGGCGAGGUCCCGCGUUCAAUUCGCGGUUGAGGCC